UACGGAGGAUACAAGCGUUAUCCGGAUUUAUUGGGUUUAAAGGGUGCGCAGGCGGACCGUUAAGUCAGGGGUGAAAAGUCGGGGCUCAACCUCGAUCGUGCCUUUGAUACUGACGGACUAGAGUGCGAUAGGAGUGGCCGGAAUGUGGUGUGUAGCGGUGAAAUGCUUAGAUAUGCCACAGAACACCGAUCGGGAAGUCAGGUCACGAGUUCGCAACUGACGCUCAUGCACGAAAGCGUAGGGAUCAAAC
rnacentral:rRNA from 1 species